UACGAAGGGGGCUAGCGUUGAUCGGAAUCACUGGGCGUAAAGCGCACGUAGGCGGAUUUUUAAGUCUGGGGUGAAAUCCUGGAGCUCAACUCCAGAACUGCCUUUGAUACUGGGAAUCUAGAGUCCGUGAGAGGUGAGUGGAACUCCGAGUGUAGAGGUGAAAUUCGUAGAUAUUCGGAAGAACACCAGUGGCGAAGGCGGCUCACUGGCCCGGUACUGACGCUGAGGUGCGAAAGCGUGGGGAGCAAACAGG
rnacentral:rRNA from 1 species